UCACAGCUGAGCCAGAGCCCAUCCUGGCAAAUUGGGCCCCUCCUGGUCCUAAAGAGCCCCAGUUCAGCAAGUUGGUAUGGAUUACCCCCAAAUCACCAGAACAACAGUUUCAUUUGGAACAAUUAAGCAGGUCGUAUUCUGGAGCAAUAAGAAGCCCAUGUAUUAUGCAUGAAGAGCUGAUUCAUAACUGGAACCAGUGUGUGAUAAAAGACAGUGCCAAUACAAAUAUGUACAAGUAAAGCAGAUAGUUGACUGAAAGGAACAAAAAUUGCUUUAUUACAUUGUUGUCAACACAGAGAUAUUGGUGCAGUUUUUUUCUGACCUUUUCAACAGGGUUUUUGAAGGUUUGACUGUUAAGAAUAGUGUUAAAAUGUGGUUUUAAGAAGCAAAAUGGUUUUCUUGUAUUUACUUUGGAAGGGACUACCAAUUCCUCAGUGACCUUUUUAAGAGCAAUAUAAAAGUAUGUUGCCCAUUGUUUCCAAGUUCUCUAUGUCUUUUUAUUCAGGGCAGCAAGCACCUUGAACAACAGGCCAGGGAUUACAGGGCGGAAGCAUACUGCUUCAAAUUUAAAGCACACUUACCACAACACAUUCCUCUGUUGAUUGUGAAAGUGCGAACUUGUGAAAGUCUGACAGACCUCUCUUUUUCAUUAUUCCUUACAUUUCCUAAACACAUUAGCCAAAAUGUAUCCUUGGUGAUACAGAGUGAUGAUACAGAGUGUCAGUAUCCAUUGUUUCAGAAUCUUUCGGUUUUGUUUUCAAUUUUCUGAGUCAUCUGAGUGAACCUAAAUGAAGUGUCAUUGAGCCAGUGGUCUGGAUGAGAACUCCGUCCAUGAAAUGAGAAAAAAGACAUUCAACACACAUUAGCAGAAUGUAAAGGUUUCUUCUUAUUCACAGGAAACCCUGUCUUUAUUAAUGCCAAGGAACAAGAUAGUUUUACAUGAAGUGAAUGUUGCUUUUGUUCUUUAGUGUGCAAUUUCAUCUCAGUCUCAUGUCUGGGCUUAUAGUUUAAAGCAGCUACAAAUAUAUUUAUCCUUGGUGGCAUUGAUCUGCUUUCUUUCCUAAUGCCCUGACCUUAGGCUGCAGUACUUUCCAUUUCAAUAGCAGUAAGCACAGCUCAGUGAAUAUGAAUCCACACUGUGGAACACUCUUUAAGAUAAAUACAUGCUAUUGUUUAUGGAGAACUUAAAGGUGUAAGCUAUGCUGUUUAUCUAAAGUAGCUUACUUGUUUAAUCAAAAUAUUAAAUCAGGUUGCAAACGUUUAAUUAUUUUCACUUUCUGAAAUCUGUAAACAGUCCCUUCAGAAAGCAAUCUUGUUGCUAAUGUCCUGUAAUCAAUUUCUUUGUGUUUAUUACUAUGACAGGGGGGUUUAUUUAAUAAAUGACUUAAAGGGUCAAUGUGUUAUUGAAAUGUCAUUCUUAAACAAUAUAGAAAUAUAAACAAUACAGUGCUGUACUGUAUGUGACAACAGGAGGGUGUUGUUUUUAACAUAUUUAUCCUGUUUGGUUAUUUCUUCUCUAUUGUAACUUCAUUCUGUCAGCUGUGAAGCAGCACGUGUCCAUCUACAGAGCAGAACUCUCCCCCCAUGACCUGCGGCUUCUCUUAUUUGAAAUUUAAUUGUAACGGCGUGCUGGUAAGUGAGCUGCAGCUGUGACGUAGUGAGCAGCUCUCCUGCCCCAGAUGAAAAUUUAAUCAGCCUGGCUAGUGAUAUUAUCACAGGAGAAAUUAUGAGAAGAAAAAUAGAACAAGAAUUACUGUAAUGUUUUGCAUUUCAUAUACCUCUUUUGAUGGACCAGCUGGCUCAUUUCUUAAGA